rnacentral:rRNA from 1 species
AUUGAACGCUGGCGGCAUGCCUUACACAUGCAAGUCGAACGGUAACAGGUCUUCGGAUGCUGACGAGUGGCGAACGGGUGAGUAAUACAUCGGAACGUGCCUAGUAGUGGGGAUAACUACUCGAAGGAGUGGCUAAUACCGCAUGAGAUCUACGGAUGAAAGCCAGGGAUCGCAAGAACUUGUGCUACUAGAGCGGCCGAUGGCAGAUUAGGUAGUUGGUGGGAUAAAAGCUUACCAAGCCGACGAUCUGUAGCUGGUCUGAGAGGACGAUCAGCCACACUGGGACUGAGACACGGCCCAGACUCCUACGGGAGGCAGCAGUGGGGAAUUUUGGACAAUGGGCGCAAGCCUGAUCCAGCAAUGCCGCGUGCAGGAUGAAGGCCUUCGGGUUGUAAACUGCUUUUGUACGGAACGAAAAGCCCUGGGUUAAUACCCUGGGGUCAUGACGGUACCGUAAGAAUAAGCACCGGCUAACUACGUGCCAGCAGCCGCCGUAACAC